rnacentral:rRNA from 1 species
UGGGGAAUAUUGGACAAUGGGCGCAAGCCUGAUCCAGCCAUACCGCGUGGGUGAAGAAGGCCUUCGGGUUGUAAAGCCCUUUUGUUGGGAAUGAAAUCCAGCCGGCUAAUACCUGGUUGGGAUGACGGUACCCAAAGAAUAAGCACCGGCUAACUUCGUGCCAGCAGCCGCGGUAAUACGAAGGGUGCAAGCGUUACUCGGAAUUACUGGGCGUAAAGCGUGCGUAGGUGGUUAUUUAAGUCCGUUGUGAAAGCCCUGGGCUCAACCUGGGAACUGCAGUGGAUACUGGAUGACUAGAAUGUGGUAGAGGGUAGCGGAAUUCCUGGUGUAGCAGUGAAAUGCGUAGAGAUCAGGAGGAACAUCCAUGGCGAAGGCAGCUACCUGGACCAACAUUGACACUGAGGCACGAAAGCGUGGGGAGCAAACA